UACGAAGGGUGCAAGCGUUAAUCGGAAUUACUGGGCGUAAAGGGUGCGUAGGCGGUUGUUUAAGUCUGUCGUGAAAGCCCCGGGCUCAACCUGGGAAUGGCGAUGGAUACUGGCGAGCUAGAGUACGGUAGAGGAGAGUGGAAUUCCCGGUGUAGCAGUGAAAUGCGUAGAGAUCGGGAGGAACAUCAGUUGCGAAGGCGGCUCUCUGGACCAGUACUGACGCUGAGGCACGAAAGCGUGGGGAGCAAACAGG
rnacentral:rRNA from 1 species